GAUGAAAGGGAAGGCAGGAGUCCAGACAUCUAGUGGCUUAGAUUCAAUAGAAGAGGAAGUUCCUCUAUCGCGAUAUUGAAAACGAAGUGUUGGAAUCACCAUCAAUGAACCUACUGCUAAGAAGGCCAAUACAAUUGAAAAUUUUAUGGCCUACAAAAGAAAUUUCAUUCCAAGGUACAUUCAAUGGGACGUCUUUUCUAGCUUUGAUUUUAGGCUUAUUGAACUGUUUGAUGGACAAGGC
rnacentral:lncRNA from 1 species